CCUACGGGUGGCAGCAGUGGGGAAUAUUGGACAAUGGGGGCAACCCUGAUCCAGCCAUGCCGCGUGUGUGAAGAAGGCCCUCGGGUUGUAAAGAACUUUCAGUGAGGAAGAACGCCUGGUGGUUAAUACCCAUCAGGAAAGACAUCACUCACAGAAGAAGCACCGGCUAACUCCGUGCCAGCAGCCGCGGUAAUACGGAGGGUGCGAGCGUUAAUCGGAAUUACUGGGCGUAAAGCGCGCGUAGGUGGCUUGAUAAGCCGGUUGUGAAAGCCCCGGGCUCAACCUGGGAACGGCAUCCGGAACUGUCAAGCUAGAGUGCAGGAGAGGAAGGUAGAAUUCCCGGUGUAGCGGUGAAAUGCGUAGAGAUCGGGAGGAAUACCAGUGGCGAAGGCGGCCUUCUGGACUGACACUGACACUGAGGUGCGAAAUCGUGGGUAGCAAACAGGAUUAGAUACCCCUGUAGUC
rnacentral:rRNA from 1 species